UCUCUCCUUCUACCAGCAAAUCCCAGUAGUCCACUGGGUUGUUGUUGAGGGCUUUUGCUUACUGAGCCACGGACCACCUUCUUCUCACUCUCUACAAGUUUUGAUGCUACAUUGGGCAAGGGAAACACAGGCUGAGGUUUUGCCGACAAGUGAGUAUGCUUGGUUUGACCUAGAAAUCAUCUCGGGGAAUAAAUUGUUGUUUCAUCUCGUGGAAGGACACCUGUCUCCCUGCCACUAAUACAGAAUCCUCUGCUCUUCAUGAUCUAAUUGCCACAAAUCCGGUUGGCUUGGCAGACCACAAAGCCUUUGUUAGCUUCCUGGCUCCAUUUUAGCUUCGGCGUGACUUCUGCUAUUGAUGCUGCUAACGACGUAAAUCAAAUUGCUUGGGGCAAGCUGUCUUGUACAUUUCUCAACAACCGGAAAGGGCUUCCACCACUUCUUACAUGUUAUUGGAUCUAAUUGGAAAAACCUUAAAUCCUCCGUGCCUUGCCUAAUAAUCCUAGUUCUUCGUUAUUCUUCUUUAUUCUACAUGUACCAAAAGUAACCGUUCUGUCAAAGUCAGAUGUUCAAAGAUACUGUAGUUCCAACAUAAAUGUAAGAAACAAACUCUGGUGUUUUGAAUGAAUUGUAACAUCUAUAUAUUAUGCUAAGCUACUGCUAAGACACAAGAGCCAAAGUGAGUAAAGGGAUAUUUUGUUUCUAUGUUUUUUUAUGUCAGGAACAUAUAUACAAAGGAUCUUACUAGUUUUUGUAUUUGCUAUAUAAAUAUGAUAAAACGAUAAUUAUAAAUAGAUUUGAAGAGGGAUUCUGCACCUUCAAUGAAAAAAAAAAGUGCAAAGACCUUUACUGUGUGAAGGGGAAGGCACAGCCAAAUGGGACAUCGUUUAUCCAGUAGUUGAGCUUUCGUCCUUUUAAGAAGCUAAGGUUUCCAGAGCAAGUAGUUAAUCUCUCCAAACUCCUCACUCCAUACAUGUUGUGUAGAGUGUCCAUACAUGAUAUAACAUGAUGAUGUUACAUCACAUUUUGCUGUUUGAACUGUAAUUUUGAAUUCCCCUAAAAUGGUAGGGGUAAAUAAAGAAAAAUCCUUAUUAAGAGAAAUUUUGACAUGUUUCUGUAUUUUAAGCAUAGAUUAAUCUCAUGAGAAACUAAAAUUCAAAGUGCAGUAGAAAUUGCAAUCAAUUUAUCUAAUGUUAUAUGAAUAGAAAAUGAAUGAUGUUUAACAAACAAACUGCUGAAAUCACAAAAAAGCAAAGAAGGUAAAAUUAUUCUAUGGUUUUCCAUAAAGUCAUUUAGAAUGA